rnacentral:rRNA from 1 species
UACGGAGGAUCCAAGCGUUAUUCGGAUUCAUUGGGCUUAAAGGGUGCGUAGGCGGUAUGAUAAGUCAGUGGUGAAAUCCUUCAGCUUAACUGGAGAAUUGCCAUUGAUACUGUCAAUCUUGAGUACAUUUGAUGUGGGCGGAAUGUGUCAUGUAGCGGUGAAAUGCUUAGAUAUGACGCAGAACACCGAUUGCGAAGGCAGCUCACAAAACUGUAACUGACGCUGAGGCACGAAAGCGUGGGUAUCAAACAGG